rnacentral:rRNA from 1 species
CAACGCUGGCGGCGUGCCUAACACAUGCAAGUCGAACGCGAAAGUCCCGCAAGGGAUGAGUAGAGUGGCAAACGGGUGAGUAACACGUGGGUGACCUGCCCUCGAGUGGGGGAUAACGUCCCGAAAGGGACGCUAAUACCGCAUGACAUCCUGCCUUUGAAUAGGCGGAGAUCAAAGCUGGGGAUCGCAAGACCUAGCGCUUGAAGAGGGGCCCGCGUCUGAUUAGCUAGUUGGUGAGGUAACGGCUCACCAAGGCGACGAUCAGUAUCCGGCCUGAGAGGGCGGACGGACACACUGGGACUGAGACACGGCCCAGACUCCUACGGGAGGCAGCAGUGGGGAAUUGUUCGCAAUGGGCGCAAGCCUGACGACGCAACGCCGCGUGGAGGAUGAAGAUCUUCGGGUCGUAAACUCCUUUCGAUCGAGACGAACGGCUUCCGGGUGAAUACCUCGGAAGAUUGACGGUACCGAGAGAAGAAGCCCCGGCUAACUCCGUGCCAGCAGCCGCGGUAAUACGGGGGGGGCAAGCGUUGUUCGGAAUUACUGGGCGUAAAGGGCUCGUAGGCGGCCAACUAAGUCAGACGUGAAAUCUCUCGGCUUAACCGGGGAACUGCGUCUGAUACUGGAUGGCUUGAGGUUGGGAGAGGGAUGCGGAAUUCCAGGUGUAGCGGUGAAAUGCGUAGAUAUCUGGAGGACACCGGUGGCGAAGCGGCAUCCUGGACCAAUUCUGACGCU